CAAGAUCUCCCAGCUCCAGAGGACAUAUUUACAUCUCAAGGCAUCUCUUCCUGCAUUGGAUGCAUCUCAAAAUCCCAUAAGGUAUGAAAAGCCCGCAACCUUAGUCUCAUUUUCCGGGGAUGACAACCAAAGCAAGUGGCAGUACAUCACGUUCGCUCUUGGAGGACUAUUCCUGAUGAUAACAAUGGUGGCCAGAGAUGUCAAAUUACCAGACCUCUUUCCCAGAAUCUCUUUACAGCACAGCAGAAACAGUAAUCGUUCAUAUUUAUUGAGCGCUCCCUAGGGGCUUCACAUUUAUUGAAGUAGAUGCGAUCGUCCUUGUUGUCAAGGUAAAGGAACUGGGGCUCGGGAAGAUUAAGUAAGCUGCCUACAAUCACAUGGUUAGUAAAUGGUUGAGUCAGCAUAUGAACUCAAGCGGUCUGACUCCAAGGUCACGCCCCAGACUAGAAAGCUACAUGUCUGUUCAUCCAUUUUUUAAGAAAAAAAAAAAAAAAAAAAAAAAAAAAAAACUCCAUUAGAGUCAAUUGGCCAGACUCUUAGACUUUGCUCUGUUCUAAUCUGACCCCCAUGUGUCACACUUGUGAGUCUGAGAGUAAACAUCCCACGCUCACCAUGCACGGAAGUGGCUCUUCACAAAUAUUUUUGGCUCAGAGUGAAAAGGUGCAAGAACUCAAAGGAGAGGGUGCCCAAGUUCAUUCCCUAGGCCCAGAUGGCUAACAGACCUGGGGUAAACACUCAGCUCGGAAACGCUCACAAAACUCCCAGCCUUAGCUCACCUCGGCCUGAGUGUGCCAGGCUAACAAACGUAGUAGCCUGGGAAACGUCCAGGAUCUAAUCAGUUCAUGCUGAAACCAAAGUCGACUUCCUUCUGCAGCGUGUGUCUGUGCCAUGUUGGUCUGCACAGCCCUGCAGACACCCACACGUGGCAGGAAACCCAACAGCCUAGGCUAGCAACGUCACUGUCAAAGUAGUGUUCAGAGGCUGGCGAGGCAAGGCAGGUCAGACAAGAUCUUAUGAAUAACAUAGGAUCAAAGGUUUGAUAGGACUUGGUAUCAUUCAGAUGACACCCACAGACAUAGGAAAGGUGUUAUGCUCACAUAGGCAACCUGGGGCAAGCUGAUGAGGGCAAGGAAGUUGGUAAUUAGCAGCCUCGCCAUCUCUCAGUGCCCCUUCUUCUCUUGGAAAGUCUGCUUCAGACAUGCACUGCCCUCAACUCUACCAUUUGUCCCCAGAACUGGGGCCUCUCCAGGGUCUUCCACACAACUCUGUCCUGCAGGGACAGCGAAUGUCCCUCGAUGUGUGUGUGUGUGUGUGUGUGUGUGUGUGUGUGUGUGUAACUGGUAGUGACCACCGAUCUAAAAAUGCACUAUUUAAAAAACGACUUCAGUGAAUUUUGAUUCCUACAUUUGCAAAACAGCACAUCUGUUAUUCAAAAUAUUUAAAUAUAUGAUAUAUUCAGGCCACAGACACGUGUGUAUGUUUACAGACUCCUUGCAAUAACUCUGAGGCUCCCCACAAGCUAUUCCUGCCCGGGGGGCUGGGGACUGUAAACCUAAGCGACCUAUUGCAACCUGUAUUUGGUUCUCAUUUCCUCCUCCUCCUCCUCCCUCCUCCCCCGCCUCUGAUUCUCGGGGAAGAAGAUGCCGAGACAGAACGAGGAGUACAUAAGGUUUUGGGGGGAGUAACACCUGGGAGGAAAUGUGAGGAAGCAAGAAUGGUCAUGAGGAAGGCACCCGAUCAGGAUACGGAGCAAGAUCACCUGUUAGAUCCGAGUCCUCAUCAGGAGGAAACGGCCAGGUCUUUGUUCCAUGGCCUUGUCACUUACUGGCUAGUGCCACUCAGAACCGUGUGUGACUUCGGCUCAAAAGUUGCUCACAGAGGAGGCUGUGAGCUGGCUACCGUCUCCAUCGCUGGGCAGGGAGUCCCAUCUUACAGGGGUAGCUGGGUAGUGUAUCUGUAUCUGCCACGCCCCACCUUCCCCCUGAGUCUGUGAGGCGAUUUUACCCUUCGUGGUUCUUCAUGAAGACAACAGAACUCUAUAAAUGACAGUGUGUGAAUUGCCCUUGGGAAAUAGGCCAUCUCUCAACCAGCAAAAUUAGAAAGAAAGUUAUAACCGUACGUCAGUAUAGUUGAAUCAGCUAAAAGGUGAGGUGCCCCUAGGAUAUGGGACGGCGUUUCAUUUAAGCAGAAUCUCCUUCUGCAGAGGGAGCGCCCUGCGAAUCUGAAAUAAGAUCAGAGAAGGGCUUGCUGCAGCAGUCUGGCCAUCCUCUGCCGAUGAACGUGAACCCCCGUGAAUAGAUCUGAGGAUCAACAGCCAUCAAUAACCACAACUCCUCUCAUCUCCCUGGAGACCACAGACCAUACAGGUACCUCUCUGUUUUGUUUUCUAAAGGCCACGACUUAACUGUGCCAUGGGGAAUGGAGGGUUAAGUCACCUCUUCUGUGUUGUAUGAUCCUGAGUCCUUGAGCAUAAGAAACAGAAAUCAAGUCUGGAGUAACUGAAACAGAAACGACAUUUGUCGACAGGGUUUAGCGACGUUCACAGAACAGACAGGAAGGCAGGAGAGGGAGGCUUGGGAAAAAGCAGAAACUAGAGCAGGUCUGAGGAUCCAGGGAACAGUAAGCACCAACGAGAUCAUGUCUUAGGAAGAACUCGUUCAAGACAUGUUGUGGCUACUACCGGUGGUCUAGCUGACCUCCUUCUGCUGUUACAACUAUUUCUGCUGAUUAAAGUCUUUGUGUCCCUCCAUCCUACGCCAUGAUCAAGAGACUCCGUGUCCUGCAAAGGAGCAUCUGAUUGGAUAAGCGGAGGUUACAGCCCACGCUGCCAGAACUCAGAAGUUCCCUCUUCAGGCUUCUAUAGGAGGAGGCUCUUCCCAAAUCCAGAGGACAUGGGCCUUCUGCUGAAGAAAGCUCACAACAUCAAAGGAGGGAAAAUGAUAAACUAUGUGAGUAAGUAAAUGCCAUUAGAGAGAAUCAUCAGGUACCAUAAACAAAAGGGUUAGCACCCGAGGUGCUGAACUUGAUAGAACAAUCUAGAAGAGACAACAAAAUCAUCAUGGUUCAAGUAACUAAGGAGUUUUAAGAACGGAGGAAGGAGGGGUGCCUAGGUGGCUCAGUAGGUUAAAUGUCUGACCCUUGAUAUCCGCCCAGGUCAGGAUCUUGCAGUCAUGGGACCACACUCGAUGCUGAGCGCGGGGCCUGUUUAACAUUCUCCCUCUCCCUCUCUUUGUGUCCCUCCCCUGCUUAUUCUCUCUCCCUCUCUUUUCUCUCUCUCUCCCUCUCCAAAAUAAAUAAAUGUUUUAAAAGGGAGGAAAUAAGAUCUAUAGUGAGAGCAGAGGAAAAUACAGCAAAAGAAAAGACAGAUUUGCAAAAGAAUCGAAAGAAAAUGCAGUCAAUAAAAUAAAGAAUUAACAGGAUAGUAGAGCUGCUGAGAAAAUUGGUGAACUGGAAGACAGAACUGAGGAAACUCUCUAGACUGUAUCACAGAAAGCAGAUGGCAAAUACAAAUGGCCGGAUAGAAAAUAUGAAAGCUAGAUUGAGAAAAUCCAGCAGAUAUAAAAUCAGGCUGCCAUGAUGCACAAUUCUAAAGUCUA